GUUUAUAAGAGAGGAAAUUAUAAUCUAAUCUGCCCACUGAAUUUUUUUAAAGGGCCGCAGUAUUUUGACUGUGCAAAGGUAGCAUAAUAAUUAGUCUUUUAAUUGGAGUCUGGUAUGAAUGAUUGGAUGAUGGAUUAACUGUCUUUUUUUAUAGUUUGAAUUUUAUUUUUGAGUGAAAAAGCUUAAAUAUUUUUGGGGGACGAUAAGACCCUAUAAAUCUUAUAAAUUAAAAUUAAAAAUUCAAAUUUACUUAUUUUUUAAUAAUAAUUUUUUAUUGGGGUGAUAUUUAUGAUUAAUAAACCAUAUUUUAUAAACCAUGUUAUAUGAAUAUUAUUAACUUGAAUUUUUGAAUUCAAAACAAGUUACUUUAGGGAUAACAGCAUAAUUAUUUUUGAGAGAUCUUAUUGAUAAAAUAGUUUGUGACCUCGAUGUUGAAUUAAGGUGUUAUUAUAAUGCAGCAGUUAUAAAAGUAAGUCUGUU
rnacentral:rRNA from 1 species